rnacentral:rRNA from 1 species
UUCGCAAUGCCCGAAAGGGUGACGAAGCGACGCCGCGUGCGGGAAGAAGGCCUUCGGGUUGUAAACCGCUGUCAGGAGUUAGGAAAUGCAAGGGCGUUAAUAGCGUUCUUGUUUGACUAAGGCUCCGGAGGAAGCCACGGCUAACUCUGUGCCAGCAGCCGCGGUAAUACAGAGGCGGCAAGCGUUGUUCGGAAUUAUUGGGCGUAAAGAGCACGUAGGCGGCCCUGAGAGUCAGUUGUGAAAGCCUUCCGCUUAACGGAAGAACGGCUUCUGAUACUGCAGGGCUAGAGUACGGAAGGGGAGAGUGGAACUUCUGGUGGAGCGGUGAAAUGCGUAGAUAUCAGAAGGAACGCCGGCGGCGAAAGCGACUCUCUGGUCCGAAACUGACGCUGAGUGUGCGAAAGCUAGGGGAGCAAACGGGAUUAGAUACCCCGGUAGUCCUAGCCGUAAACGAUGGGCACUAAGUAGAGGGGUUUU